rnacentral:lncRNA from 1 species
AGGCGCCCUGGAACUCCCCGCGCGUGUUGUGACCCAGAAUUCCCGGGGCUGUGGAAGAGACCAUAGACUCAACAGGAGGGGGAGUCCUGGGUAGCGCGCCGGUCUAAAUCGUUACUUGGCGGAAAGUUCCCAUGAGUCUUUGCCAGCGUCCCCCUCCUUUUGUGAGGAUUGGGAUAUUCCGACUCCUUAAGGGCCUGGCGCACAUAAGGGCCACAUCUGCCAGAGCCUGGAGUCUGCGAAGGCCGGGACCCGGUUCCCCGGCCCACAGUGGGGGUGUGCAAACCCGAGAGAACUGGGUUGCAAAUUCGUGAAGAAUCAGCAUCAUGUUUGGCAGCUGAGUAUUGGAGCCAGGAGCCUGCCAUGAGGUUUUGAGAACAGAGUGCUGUUUUAGAGCUGGCAGCAGCAUCUCAGCCCAAGAGAAGGCAUGACUCCACAGUUUCUGCAACAACAGAGCCGGGGAAAGGAGGACGCAGCAAGCGCUGAAUAUUAACCAGCAAAGGUAGAUGCUUCAAUAUCGAAACCACCGGGACCCGCAUGUGCAAAGCUACUUAAUGAGGGUGUAAUCAAACACAGU